rnacentral:lncRNA from 1 species
GCUAAAUUUUGCAUGUGUCGAAUUCAAUUCUACUUGGGUGGGGAUCGCGAAAAAUGUCUGGGACGAGGUAAAAAGAGAUAUGGAUGCAUGUAGUUUUACUGAAAAGUCAUAGGCUUGCUACAAUUUUUGGGUAAUAAUUCCAUGUCGUAUAUACACGAAAGUUAAUGCCUGAUCCCAACCCUAACACUACCUAUACAGGGUGCAUAAAAAAAAGCGCAAUCCUCUACUGAAAUG